rnacentral:rRNA from 1 species
AGAGUUUGAUCCUGGCUCAGGAUGAACGCUAGCGACAGGCUUAACACAUGCAAGUCGAGGGGCAGCAUAAAAGUAGCAAUACUUUGGUGGCGACCGGCGCACGGGUGAGUAACGCGUAUGCAACCUACCUAUCAGAGGGGGAUAACCCGGCGAAAGUCGGACUAAUACCGCAUAAAACAGGGGCACCGCAUGGUGAUAUUUGUUAAAAAUUUAUUGCUGAUAGAUGGGCAUGCGUUCCAUUAGGUAGUUGGAGAGGUAACGGCUCACCAAGCCCACGAUGGAUAGGGGAACUGAGAGGUUGGUCCCCCACACUGGUACUGAGACACGGACCAGACUCCUACGGGAGGCAGCAGUGAGGAAUAUUGGUCAAUGGGCGAGAGCCUGAACCAGCCAAGUCGCGUGAAGGAAGAAGGAUCUAUGGUUCGUAAACUUCUUUUGCAGGGGAAUAAAGUGCAGGACGUGUCCUGUUUUGUAUGUACCCUGAGAAUAAGGAUCGGCUAACUCCGUGCCAGCAGCCGCGGUAAUA